ACUGCCCGGUAGCUAAAUGCGGAAGAGAUAAGUGCUGAAAGCAUCUAAGCACGAAACUUGCCCCGAGAUGAGUUCUCCCUGACCCUUUAAGGGUCCUGAAGGAACGUUGAAGACGACGACGUUGAUAGGCCGGGUGUGUAAGCGCAGCGAUGCGUUGAGCUAACCGGUACUAAUGAACCGUGAGGCUUAACCUUACAACGCCGAAGCUGUU
rnacentral:rRNA from 1 species